rnacentral:rRNA from 1 species
GCGGCCUAUCAGCUUGUUGGUGGGGUAACGGCCUACCAAGGCGACGACGGGUAGCCGGCCUGAGAGGGCGACCGGCCACACUGAGACUGAGACACGGCCCAGACUCCUACGGGAGGCAGCAGUGGGGAAUAUUGCGCAAUGGGCGAAAGCCUGACGCAGCGACGCCGCGUGGGGGAUGAAGGCCUUCGGGUUGUAAACCCCUUUCAGCAGGGACGAAGCGAAAGUGACGGUGGGAGCAGAAGAAGCACCGGCCAACUACGUGCCAGCAGCCGCGGUAAUACGUAGGGUGCGAGCGUUGUCCGGAAUUACUGGGCGUAAAGAGCUCGUAGGUGGUUUGUCGCGUUGUUCGUGAAAACCAGGGGCUUAACCUCUGGCGUGCGGGCGAUACGGGCAGACUGGAGUACUGCAGGGGAGACUGGAAUUCCUGGUGUAGCGGUGGAGUGCGCAGAUAUCAGGAGGAACACCGGUGGCGAAGGCGGGUCUCUGGGCAGUAACUGACGCUGAGGAGCGAAAGCGUGGGGAGCGAACAGGAUUAGAUACCCUGGUAGUCCACGCCGUAAACGGUGGGUACUAGGUGUGGGUUUCCUUCCUUGGGAUCCGUGCCGUAGCUAACGCAUUAAGUACCCCGCCUGGGGAGUACGG